UUUAUGGAUUUUUAGAACCCGAGUUAAUCCAAAAAAUUGGGAACAAGACAGAAGAAAUUCAAGCUUACAUCCAAAAUUGGAUGCCUGACUCAAAUAAAAAAGUUUACUUAGUUCCUUACUUUUCUAAUGCUCAUUGGCAACUUCUGAUUAUUUGUCCUAUGGACAAUAUAUCUGUAUGCAUUUGUUCGAUGCACAAACCUCCUCCUGCAGACUUUAAACAAUUAUUAGAUAAGGCUAUGGAAGGAUACCAUAUACUUAAAGGUUCAAAGUUGAAGAAAAAAAUGCUUUGGGUC